CCUACGGGUGGCUGCAGUGGGGAAUAUUGCACAAUGGGCGCAAGCCUGAUGCAGCCAUGCCGCGUGUGUGAAGAAGGCCUUCGGGUUGUAAAGCACUUUCAGCGGGGAGGAAGGCGGUGAGGUUAAUAACCUCAUCGAUUGACGUUACCCGCAGAAGAAGCACCGGCUAACUCCGUGCCAGCAGCCGCGGUAAUACGGAGGGUGCAAGCGUUAAUCGGAAUUACUGGGCGUGAAGCGCACGCAGGCGGUCUGUCAAGUCGGAUGUGAAAUCCCCGGGCUCAACCUGGGAACUGCAUUCGAAACUGGCAGGCUAGAGUCUGGUAGAGGGGGGUAGAAUUCCAGGUGUAGCGGUGAAAUGCGUAGAGAUCUGGAGGAAUACCGGUGGCGAAGGCGGCCCCCUGGACAAAGACUGACGCUCAGGUGCGAAAGCGUGGGGAGCAAACAGGAUUAGAUACCCGAGUAGUC
rnacentral:rRNA from 1 species